AUGUCGGAGCUGGGAGACACCUUAGAACAUAGGAUUUCGGAGUUGAAAGGGACUUUAGAACAUAGGAUGUCGGAGCUCGUAGGGACCCUAGAGCAUAGGAUGUCGGAGUUGGGGGGAACCUUGGGACAUAGAACGUCCGAGCUGGAGGGGACCGUGGAACACCGGAUCUCCGAGCUGGGCUGGACCUUAAAGCACCGCGUGUCGGGGCUGGGGGGGAGCCUAGGACGCCGGCUGUCCCUGCACAGGACGUCGGAGUUGGUAGGAAACCUAGAGUACCGAACGUCCGAGCUGGGAGUCACCUUGCAGUAUAGGAACGUGGAGCUGGGACGGACCCUGGAGUGUCGCCUGUCCGAGCUCAGAGGCACCUUAGGACACCGAGUGUCCGAGCUGGGCGAGGCCGUAGGGCAAGCCGCCGUGCCGGACCUGGGGGGGGCCCUGGAAAUCAUCAUGUCUGAGCUGCGGGACAUCUUGGGACACAGAAUGUCAGAGCUCGAAGGGACCCUAGAACACAAAAUGUCGGAGCUGGAAGGGACCCUAGAACACAGAAUGUCCGAGCUGGGAGGGACCUUAAGACACAGAAUGUCCGAGCUGGGAGGCUCCUUAGGACGCAGAAUGUCCGCGCUCGGAGGGACCCUAGAACACAGAAUGUCUGAGCUUGGAGGGACCCUAGAACACAGAAUGUCCGAGCUGGAAGAGAGCUUAGAACACAGGGUAUCGGAGCUGGAAGAGACCUUAGAACACAGGAUAUCGGAGCUGGGAGCCACCUUAGAGCACAGGAUGUCCGAGCUAGAGGGCCUCUUAGAACACCGGAUGUCCGAGCUGGAAGGGGUCUUGGGACGGAGGAUGUCGGGAUUGGGAGGGACUCUGGGUCGCCGAAUGGCUCAGCUGGGAGCGACCUUAGAGCACAGAAUGUUGGAGCUGGGAGGGACCUUGAGACAGAGGAUGUCCAAGCUGGGGGUGACUUUAGAACAGAGGAUGUCGGAGCUGGGCGGGGCCUUAGAACACAGAAUGGCCGAGCUGGGAGGGACCCUAGAACAUAGAAUGGCCGAGCUGGGAGCCACCUUGGAGCACCGAAUGGCCGAGCUGGGAGCCACCUUAGCACACAGAAUGGUCGAGCUGGGAGGGUCCUUAGAACACAGACUGUCCAAGCUGGGCGGGGGCUUGGGACUUAGAAUGUCCGACCUGGAAGUGACCUUAGAGCAUAGAAUGUCCGAGCUGGAAGUGACCUUAGAGCACAGAAUCUCAGAGCUGGAAGUGACCUUAGCGCACAGGAUGGCCGAGCUGGGAGCCACUUUAGGACACAGGAUGGCCGAGCUGGGAGCCACCUUUGGACACAGAGUGUCCGAGCUGGGAGCAGUCUUGGGGCGAAGAAUGCCAGAGCUGGACGGGACCUUAGGGCACAGGAUGUCGCAGCUGGGAGUGAUCUUGGAGCUUAGAAUGUCACACUGGGAGUGACCUUAGGACGGAGGAUGUCCGAGUUGGGAGUGACUUUGGGAGUCAGAAUGUCCCAUUUGGGGGCGAUCUUAGGACACAGAAUGUUGGGGCUGGGAGGGACCUUAGGCCGGAGGAUGUCCGAGUUGGGAAGGACCUUGGGACAUAAGAUGGCCGAGCUGGGGGUGACCCUGGGAUACAGAAUGUCCGAGCUGGGAGGGACCUUAGGACAUCGGAUGUCUGAGCUCGGGGUGUCCUUAGGGCGCAGAAUAGCAGAGCUGGAAGCCACCUUAGGAUGUAGAAUGUCCGAGCUGAAAUCGACCUUAGAGCACAGAAUGUCCGAGCUGGGAGAGACUUUAGAGCACAGGAUGUCCGAGCUGGGGGGGACCCUAGGACACAGGAUGUCCGAGCUGGGGGGGACCUUAGAACACAGGAUGUCCGAGCUGGGGGGGACCUUAGAACACAGGAUGUUAGAGCGGGGAGGAAUCUCGGGCCAUAGAAUGUCCCAGCUGGGAGGGAGCUUCUGACAACCCAGGUCUGGAGGGGCUGCGGCCACAGCCUCGGUUUCUGGGGGGGGAUCCGGUGGAAGGCUGAGCCUAGUGAGGGGUCCGGUGCGGGGGACAGCCGGCGUUCUCCCCGCCUGGGCGGCCUCGGGCCAGUCCCAACGCUUUCCUCCUCCCCGAAACGCGAGGCUGGCACAUCUCCGCGACCCCCUGGGGCCCCAGCCGUGCGCCUGCGGAGCACGGGGUCUCUGGCGCUCUUCCUCUUCUCAGUGCUUUGCUCUUCCCCCCAGCUUUCUCUCACCCGGCUCAGUCCCACGACCCCUCCCGAAGCCCGCGCCGUCACAGUCAGUGUGCCUUAAGCUUGCGUUCUCAGUGCUGCCAAAGCUGUGGAGUCCUAGCCUUCUUAGUCUGUCUGCCCGCCCCCCCUCAGUCUUAUUCCUACGCCUCCCUGCUGUGCGGAGGCAUUCCUGGGUUUUCAAAGGCAAGGCCAGGCGCCCAAGCAGGGAGCGGCCUGGCGGUUAGGUCUGGCCAAGGAGGCCCGGGCUGGAUUGUCUGGACGGACGGUUGGCCGCUAUCUGGCGGGAGGAUGGACCCUGGAGACGGGGUCUGGACGAACGGAGGAUGGGAUUCUCCGGGGCUGCGUGUGUGUCAUUCUCCCUUACGGGGCUUGUCUUCCUAAAGUCUUAUCUUCCCUUUCCCACAGCUUAAGCAUUUAAAAGCUAAAAGGAUAAAUGAGAAAUGGUGCUGCCCUCAGAAAGCUUGUGUUCUGGUAGGGAGCCAUGACACACCGACCCCCACUGAAGAGAGUCCCAUUCUCCCCUUCGUCCAGGCCCGCAGGCCAGGGGCUGCCUGUUGGGGAAGCUGCUACAGAAAAUAGGGUGGAAGGCAGGGAGGGGUGCUUUCUGGGCUCUGGCUAGCAGAGGUUGAGAGUCUUUGUUUCCAUGUGGGGAAAGGACCUAGCAAGCCUCUGGUAUUGCUGUCAGAGGAGACGAAUGCACUCCACGAGAUUCAGGAACUUCUGACGCUGGGCCUGCAUGGCGUGCUGCUCACUGCCGGGAGUCCUGCCAGAUCAAGUUUUCCUCUUCUCCCUCAGCCUCCCCAAAAAAGAAUCAAGAAGAAAAUAAUAAUGCAGAAGAAAAAGGCUCAGGAACUUAAUAUUCUAGAUCCUGAAAUAAAUGAGGCCACUCAGGAACCUGUUAACUGUACAAACUAUACAGCUCAUGUGUCAUGUUACCCAGCACCCAACGUAACUUGUAAGGACUUCAGCGGCAAUGAAACCCAUUUUACCGGAAGUGAAGUUGGUUUUUUCAAGACCACAUCUUGCCGUAAUGU